rnacentral:rRNA from 1 species
UACGAAGGGGGCUAGCGUUGCUCGGAAUCACUGGGCGUAAAGGGUGCGUAGGCGGGUCUUUAAGUCAGGGGUGAAAUCCUGGAGCUCAACUCCAGAACUGCCUUUGAUACUGAAGAUCUUGAGUUCGGGGAGAGGUGAGUGGAACUGCGAGUGUAGAGGUGAAAUUCGUAGAUAUUCGCAAGAACACCAGUGGCGAAGGCGGCUCACUGGCCCGGUACUGACGCUGAGGUGCGAAAGCGUGGGGAGCAAA